rnacentral:rRNA from 1 species
AACGAACGCUGGCGGCAUGUCUAACACAUGCAAGUCGAACGAGACCUUCGGGUCUAGUGGCGCACGGGUGCGUAACGCGUGGGAACCUGCCCUUAGGUUCGGAAUAACUCCCCGAAAGGGGUGCUAUUACCGGAUAAUGUCUUCGGACCAAAGAUUUAUCGCCUUUGGAUGGGCCCGCGUUGGAUUAGCUAGUUGGUAGGGUAAAAGCCUACCAAGGCGACGAUCCAUAGCUGGUCUGAGAGGAUGAUCAGCCACACUGGGACUGAGACACGGCCCAGACUCCUACGGGAGGCAGCAGUGGGGAAUAUUGGACAAUGGGCGAAAGCCUGAUCCAGCAAUGCCGCGUGAGUGAUGAAGGCCUUAGGGUUGUAAAGCUCUUUUACCCGGGAUGAUAAUGACAGUACCGGGAGAAUAAGCUCCGGCUAACUCCGUG